UGGGGAAUAUUGCAGCAAUGGGCGCAAGCCUGAUGCAGCCAUGCCGCGUGUGUGAAGAAGGCCUUCGGGUUGUAAAGCACUUUCAGCGGGGAGGAAGGCGAUAAGGUUAAUAACCUUGUCGAUUGACGUUACCCGCAGAAGAAGCACCGGCUAACUCCGUGCCAGCAGCCGCGGUAAUACGGAGGGUGCAAGCGUUAAUCGGAAUUACUGGGCGUAAAGCGCACGCAGGCGGUCUGUCAAGUCGGAUGUGAAAUCCCCGGGCUCAACCUGGGAACUGCAUUCGAAACUGGCAGGCUGGAGUCUUGUAGAGGGGGGUAGG
rnacentral:rRNA from 1 species